GACGAACGCUGGCGGCGUGCCUAAUACAUGCAAGUUGAGCGCUGAAGGUUGGUACUUGUACCAACUGGAUGAGCAGCGAACGGGUGAGUAACGCGUGGGGAAUCUGCCUUUGAGCGGGGGACAACAUUUGGAAACGAAUGCUAAUACCGCAUAAAAACUUUAAACACAAGUUUUAAGUUUGAAAGAUGCAAUUGCAUCACUCAAAGAUGAUCCCGCGUUGUAUUAGCUAGUUGGUGAGGUAAAGGCUCACCAAGGCGAUGAUACAUAGCCGACCUGAGAGGGUGAUCGGCCACAUUGGGACUGAGACACGGCCCAAACUCCUACGGGAGGCAGCAGUAGGGAAUCUUCGGCAAUGGACGAAAGUCUGACCGAGCAACGCCGCGUAAGUGAAGAAGGUUUUCGGAUCGUAAAACUCUGUUGGUAGAGAAGAACGUUGGUGAGAGUGGAAAGCUCAUCGAGUGACGGUAACUACCCAGAAAGGGACGGCUAACUACGUG
rnacentral:rRNA from 1 species